rnacentral:rRNA from 1 species
GAUGAACGCUGGCGGCGUGCCUAAUACAUGCAAGUCGAGCGAACAGACGAGGAGCUUGCUCCUCUGACGUUAGCGGCGGACGGGUGAGUAACACGUGGAUAACCUACCUAUAAGACUGGAUAAACUUCGGGAAACGGGACUAAUUCCCGGUUAUUAUUUUAAACCGCUUGUUUAAAUAUUAAAAGCCGGUUUUGUUUUCACUUUUAGAUGGUUCCGCGCCGCAUUAGCUAGUUGGUAAGGUAACGGCUUACCAAGGCAACGAUGCGUAGCCGACCUGAGAGGGUGAUCGGCCACACUGGAACUGAGACACGGUCCAGACUCCUACGGGAGGCAGCAGUAGGGAAUCUUCCGCAAAGGGCGAAAGCCUGACGGAGCAACGCCGCGUGAGUGAUGAAGGUCUUCGGAUCGUAAAACUCUGUUAUUAGGGAAGAACAAAUGUGUAAGUAACUAUGCACGUCUUGACGGUACCUAAUCAGAAAGCCACGGCUAACUACGUG